rnacentral:rRNA from 1 species
UACGAAGGGUGCAAACGUUGCUCGGAAUUAUUGGGCGUAAAGCGCACGUAGGCGGCGCUCUAAGUCGGAUGUGAAAGCCUUUGGCUCAACCAAAGAAGUGCAUUCGAAACUGGAGCGCUUGAGUAGUUAAGAGGAUCGCGGAAUUCCCGGUGUAGAGGUGAAAUUCGUAGAUAUCGGGAGGAACACCAGUGGCGAAGGCGGCGAUCUGGGAACAUACUGACGCUGAGGUGCGAAAGCGUGGGGAGCAAACAGG